UCCGGCUUGUCACCGGCAGUUCCCUCAGAGUGCCCGGCCAAACCCGGGGGCAACUGAGGGCGAGGGUUGCGCUCGUUGCGGGACUUAACCCAACAUCUCACGACACGAGCUGACGACAGCCAUGCACCACCUGUCACCCAGUCCGAAGAGGGCCUUGUCUCCAAGGCUUUCCGGGUGAUGUCAAACCCAGGUAAGGUUCUUCGCGUUGCAUCGAAUUAAGCCACAUGCUCCGCCGCUUGUGCGGGUCCCUGUCAAUUCCUUUGAGUUUCAGCCUUGCGGCCGUACUCCCCAGGCGGGGCACUUAACGCGUUAGCUGCGGCACCGAAGGGGUCGCUCCCCCCGGCACCUAGUGCCCAUCGUUUACGGCGUGGACUAC
rnacentral:misc_RNA from 1 species